rnacentral:rRNA from 1 species
AGUGAACGCUGGCGGUAGGCCUAACACAUGCAAGUCGAACGGCAGCACAGUAAGAGCUUGCUCUUACGGGUGGCGAGUGGCGGACGGGUGAGGAAUACAUCGGAAUCUACUUUUUCGUGGGGGAUAACGUAGGGAAACUUACGCUAAUACCGCAUACGACCUACGGGUGAAAGCAGGGGAUCUUCGGACCUUGCGCGAUUGAAUGAGCCGAUGUCGGAUUAGCUAGUUGGCGGGGUAAAGGCCCACCAAGGCGACGAUCCGUAGCUGGUCUGAGGGGAUGAUCAGCCACACUGGAACUGAGACACGGUCCAGACUCCUACGGGAGGCCGCAGUGGGGAAUAUUGGACAAUGGGCGCAAGCCUGAUCCAGCCAUACCGCGUGGGUGAAGAAGGCCUUCGGGUUGUAAAGCCCUUUUGUUGGGAAAGAAAAGCAGCAGGUUAAUACCCCGCUGUUCUGACGGUACCCAAAGAAUAAGCACCGGCUAACUUCGUG